rnacentral:RNase_P_RNA from 2 species
GGAGUCGGCCGGGCGGUCGCUGUAGUCGUGCUGUAUGCCGGCUAUGGAGGAAAGUCCGGGCUCCACAGGGCAGGGUGCCAGGUAACGCCUGGGGGGCGCGAGUCUACGGAAAGUGCAACAGAAAGCAUACCGCCUAAGCACCGCAAGGUGCCGGUAAGGGUGAAAUGGUGCGGUAAGAGCGCACCGCGCCGGUGGCAACAUGCGGCGGCAAGGUAAACCCCACCCGGAGCAAGGCCAAAUAGGGGAACAAUGGUGCGGCCCGCACUGUUCCCGGGUAGGCUGCAUGAGGUGUGUGGCGACGCACAUCCCAGAUGAAUGACUGCUCUCGACAGAACCCGGCUUACAGGCCGACUCCAAUU